rnacentral:rRNA from 1 species
AGAGUUUGAUCCUGGCUCAGAACGAACGCUGACGGCAGGCCUAACACAUGCAAGUCGAGCGCGCCUUUCGGGGCGAGCGGCGGACGGGUUAGUAACGCGUGGGAAUAUACCCUUUGGUACGGAAUAGCCUCUGGAAACGGAGAGUAAUACCGUAUGAGCCCUUCGGGGGAAAGAUUUAUCGCCAAAGGAUUAGCCCGCGUUAGAUUAGGUAGUUGGUGGGGUAAUGGCCUACCAAGCCUACGAUCUAUAGCUGGUUUUAGAGGAUGAUCAGCAACACUGGGACUGAGACACGGCCCAGACUCCUACGGGAGGCAGCAGUGGGGAAUCUUGGACAAUGGGGGCAACCCUGAUCCAGCCAUGCCGCGUGAGUGAUGAAGGCCUUAGGGUCGUAAAGCUCUUUCGCCUGUGAAGAUAAUGACGGUAGCAGGUAAAGAAACCCCGGUUAACUCCGUGCCAGCAGCCGCGGUAAUACGGAGGGGGUUAGCGUUGUUCGGAAUUACUGGGCGUAAAGCGCACGUAGGCGGACUGGAAAGUUGGGGGUGAAAUCCCGGGGCUCAACCCCGGAACUGCCUCCAAAA